rnacentral:rRNA from 1 species
UACGUAGGGGGCGAGCGUUGUCCGGAUUUAUUGGGCGUAAAGCGCGCGCAGGCGGUUCGUUAAGUCCGAUGUGAAAGCUCCCGGCUCAACUGGGAGAGGUCUUCGGAUACUGGCGAACUCGAGGGAGGCAGAGGAAGGUGGAAUUCCGGGGUGUAGUGGUGAAAUGCGUAGAGAUCCGGAGGAACACCAGUGGCGAAGGCGGCCUCUGGGCCUUCCUGACGCUGAGGCGCGAAAGCGUGGGGAGCGAAACCGGAUUGAGAAACCCCGU